UACAUGGGGUGCAAACGUUGCUCGGAAUUAUUGGGCGUAAAGCGCGCGUAGGCGGUUACUUAAGUCGGAUGUGAAAGCCCUCGGCUUAACUGAGGAAGUGCACCCGAAACUGAGUAGCUAGAGUACGAAAGAGGGUCGCGGAAUUCCCGGUGUAGAGGUGAAAUUCGUAGAUAUCGGGAGGAACACCGGUGGCGAAGGCGGCGACCUGGGUCGAGACUGACGCUGAGGCGCGAAAGUGUGGGGAGCGAACAGG
rnacentral:rRNA from 1 species